GCAACGAGCGCAACCCUGUUUCCAGUUGCCAUCAAGUAAAAGUUGGGGGACGUCUGGAGAGACUGCCUGCGCAAGCAGAGAGGAAGGUGGGGAUGACGUCAAGUCAGCACGGCCCUUACGUCCAGGGCUACACACGUGCUACAAUGGCCGGUACAGAGGGCAGCGACCUGGUGACAGGUAGCGAAUCUCCAAAGCCGGUCUCAGUUCGGAUCGGAGUCUGCAACUCGACUCCGUGAAGCUGGAUUCGCUAGUAAUCGGAUAUCAGCAAUGAUCCGGUGAAUACGUUCCCGGGCCUU
rnacentral:rRNA from 1 species